GCCAUUAGUCAACAUCAGAGGAAUAAAUUGUGUGGGAAUCCCUAGGAACCUCAAGUAAUCUGGAAGGGACCAACAAUGUUUCAAUUCAUGUGAAUAUAAACAUAUGCAGAAUUCUCCAUUAACUGAUGAGUGUUCUUCUAUUAGAAUCUUGGUGUUAAGCGUGCUGGUCAGACGGUGUGUUAGCAGGGAGCAAAAUACGUUACACAAGCAAAUUUUUAGCGAGAUUGGAGAUACACCCUCCCAAGAGUCCUGAUUUUGGUGGGACAGUCUAAAGUUUGGGGUCCGGUCUCGCCAUCCGGAUUUUGUUUCCUGGUGUCCCCAUGCAGUGCAUUAAGGGUGCCACCAGUGACAGUGCUGGCGUCACCAUUAACCCCUUAAGAACACAACUUCUGGAAUAAACGGUAAUCAUGAUGGAAUAUUUCCGUCAUGUGUCCUUAAGGGGGGAGUGCUGGUGCUCCUCUGAGCUACCCAUCUGUCCUGAUUUCUUACUUCUCAUUCCUCCCCAGGACUAACCUACCUUCCCUCUCUGACUAUGAAUCACCGAAAUGUCUGCCUUUCCCCUCACCCUCUUCUGGCAGUGCAUUGGGCAGCAGUUGUGGUGAGACAGUGAAGGACAGUCCUUACACUCUUGUGGGGUGUAGAAUCACC